rnacentral:rRNA from 1 species
UACGGAGGAUGCAAGCGUUAUCCGGAUUCAUUGGGUUUAAAGGGUGCGUAGGCGGCUUUUUAAGUCAGUGGUGAAAUCCUGCCGCUUAACGGUAGAAUUGCCAUUGAUACUGACAAGCUUGAGUACGGUUGAGGUAAGCGGAAUGUGUAGUGUAGCGGUGAAAUGCUUAGAUAUUACACAGAACACCAAUUGCGAAGGCAGCUUACUAAACCGGCAACUGACGCUGAUGCACGAAAGCGUGGGGAGCGAACAGG